GAAUCCUGGCGAACAGCUAUAAU
rnacentral:siRNA from 1 species